CGACAAUCACCCUUGAUGGAGCUGUAGCUUAUGGUUUGAUAAACGAUGACUCGGAUAGAGUUGGUUAUGAUCUGGGUGUUCGUGAUGAUUCAACCAAUAAUAUUAGGGAAUCUUCUAGUAACUCAAGUGGAGCUAGUUGUGAUCUUGUUGAUCAUGUAGCUCAUGGUGAUUUGGAUAGGUUUGACAACUCAAGUGGAGUUGGAAGUGCUCGUGGUGAUUCGAGCAGUCUUGUUGACUCGGCUGGAGUUAGAGGUGAACGGGAUGAUUCAAGCAAAGUUGACACACAAGGUACUUCUACUAGUAAGCAGGGCUUGGAUUUAGUUCACAAUUACUGAAUAUGCUCAAAGGGACGUGGUGGAAAAGGUGAAAUAAUUUGAUGGAGUGUUUUUGUUUGGAGAUCAUUUGGAGUUGAAAAGUUAAGUUUUAUUCCUUGUAAUGAAAUUCGUGUCAAGGUGGAAUUUGUUAGAAUUGGAUUGUGACCCGAAUUUUUGUUGAGUAUUUGAUUGAAAAUACUGUUGAAGUAGUAUUGGGAGUAUGUAGUAGAUUUGAAGAAGUAUUGAGGGAGUUGGAGAAAGAUAAGGAGAAUGAUUUCCCUUUUUGACAGUUUUUUGACUCAUAUUUCAUCCCAAAUAUUUCACUAUUGAUUUUACCCAUUGUAUUGGGACUUCAUUUUAUAUUAAACUUUUCAUGGGUG
rnacentral:lncRNA from 1 species